UACGAAGGGGGCUAGCGUUGCUCGGAAUCACUGGGCGUAAAGCGCACGUAGGCGGCUUUCUAAGUCAGGGGUGAAAUCCUGGAGCUCAACUCCAGAACUGCCUUUGAUACUGGAGAGCUUGAGUCCGGAAGAGGUGAGUGGAACUCCGAGUGUAGAGGUGAAAUUCGUAGAUAUUCGGAAGAACACCAGUGGCGAAGGCGGCUCACUGGUCCGGCACUGACGCUGAUGUGCGAAAGCGUGGGGAGCAAACAGG
rnacentral:rRNA from 1 species